CUGUUCACUUAUUUGUUAUGAAUUAUUCAUUAUCACCUGCAAGGAUCAAAGUACAACAUCCCGGAAGAACGCGAGUCAACACAGGGAGCCAACAUGCACGCAAAGAGAGCUAUUGCAGAUUAUUUGUAUUUCAGAUUUAUUCAAGUUUAAACAGUCACGCCCUAGCUUACUUUCAGGGAAGAGGGGGCGGUGUAUGCAGUCUUAAAAAAUUACAGUAAUAUUUCGGUAGCCUUUAGGGAAGUGUAUACACCCCGUACACCUUAAAAAUGGUUGCACUCGAGAAUCCAUGUGUCGCAAAACGCGGUGGUUCAUGGGAGUGUUAGAUAGGGUAUAAUAAAAUAGUACAGGGACCCACUCAAAGGAUCGUCAAAUAUUAUGGCCAAAUGCAAUAUAUUGAAAAUUCUGCUGGGGGAAUUGAAUGAUAUUCAAGCUUUUCAUUGUGGCUUUGCCUUGCAACACUACUGUACCCAAGAUCAGUUUCCUUACAGUCUGGUGAUGGUCCAGCAUUCAGUAUUUGAUCAACACCAAAACAAAGACUUAUACUGCUGUUAUUAUUUUAAACUUUGUUGUUGGUUAUUGGUUUUAGAUUCUAUAAACUCCUGCUGUACAUGAUUUACCAAUCUCUGGAGGAGUAGUUGUACUUAUGAAGAAUCCCUGUGAUUGCUAUUUUGGGAAGAUGUCUUGAAAUAUUUUUUGAUUAAUGUCAAUUUCAUGAAAAUUUGCUCAUAUACAAAUAUGUCUAAACUUGUUGAAUGGAAGUUUCUCAGAUUCUAUGUACCAGGUAAUUGAGCAAAUAGUGAUGCUGUAAAUAAUAGCUAUUAAAUUUUUUUAGUCAAGUAACAUAGACUUACCUAAUUCAAUUGUGAAUUGACAAUACUUAAAUUGUUGUUGUAAAGUUUUGAUCGUGGUUGAUAUUGAAUCAAAACUAUUUCCACACUCACAAAUAUGGUGAGUAUGUGAUGUCAUUGGUUUAAUGUUAUAUAAUCACACAUGGUGAAUAAGUAUAACUUAAGCUUACUGAAUAUUUGAAUCCCCAAAGCUGC